rnacentral:misc_RNA from 1 species
UAAAUAGAGAGGACCGAAAACAAAGAUAUUUGACAGGCAUGGGACAGGGAUAGAAAACGUCUGUUUUUCAAUUUAAUUUGUCUUUCGUUUUGGAUCCGUACUGGAAAUUCCGAGAUAAUUGAAAGUUUUCAAAGAACUAUUUAAAGGAACUAUCAACCAUGGCAGAGACAGACGACGAACAGAUUCAUCCUCAAAGUAUCAAAUUACCUGCGGCUGUGGAAGUUUUUGCAAACCUAAAAAAUGCCAAAAAAUUCGCCAUUGAUAUAGGCAUAUCGUUGACUAAGAUAGCGUAUUACUCAACUGUUAGCUAUCGUAAGGCAUUGUAUGAAAAUGCGGGGCUGGGGAACAGUGGGGAGCGAGCUUACAAAGUGUUGGAAGGCAGCCGAUUGCAUUUUGUGAAGUUUGAAACUAGACAUCUCGAAAAUUGUCUAGAUUUUGUCAAAGCCAACUUGGUACACGCUGAGAGAUUUCAGGGGAAAAGUGUUAAAGUUACUGGUGGAGGGGCUCAUAGAUAUACACCGUUACUGCAAGAGAAAUUAGGCUUACUUAUCGAUAAAGAGGACGAAAUUGGAUGCCUUAUAAAAGGGUGCAAUUUUUUGUUGAAAAAUAUACCCUGUGAAGCUUUUCAAUUUGAAAAGAAUUGCAACCCAGAAUAUAAGUUCCAGAAAGCGGGUCCUAACAUAUUUCCAUACAUGUUGGUCAACAUUGGAAGCGGUGUUAGCAUUCUCAAGGUAGAGUCUGAGGAACAGUUUGAAAGAAUAGGAGGUACUGCAACAGGUGGUGGUACAUUCUGGGGACUUGGGUCUUUGCUAACAAAAGCUAAGGGUUUUGAUGAACUACUACAGCUCGCUGAACGUGGAGACCAUCGUAACGUUGAUAUGUUGGUAAAGGAUAUAUAUGGGGGAGACUACACUAGCCAAGGCUUACCUGGUGAUCUGAUUGCCUCAUCCUUUGGGAAAGCAAUGAGCUGCAAUAACAAUUUGGAAACGAAGAAUUUCUCUGAAGCUGAUAUAGCUCGGAGUUUAUUGUUCACGAUCAGUAAUGAUAUAGGACAGAUAGCCAGCCUUUAUGCAUCUCAACAUAAUUUGAACAAAGUUUAUUUCGGGGGAUAUUUCCUCCGGAAUCAUCCAUUAUCCAUGCAUACUAUCUCCUACUCCAUCAUGUAUUGGUCUCAUGGCAAAGUAAAGCCGCUAUUUCUUCGGCACGAAGGCUAUUUGGGUGCUAUAGGAGCAUUCUUAUAUGGAGCUGAACAAUCUGACAAAUUUAGCUGGCUAGAAAAUUAUGCCGGUUCUUCAGGAUUCAAAGAUUCCAUUUCCACAAAACUUGGGAUCCAAGUCGAUCAAUUAGAGAUAGAUCAAGCUGAAAAUGCUGUGACGUUUUGUCCGCUGCUCAAAGAUCCUUCCUCAUACAAUCCAGAUACUAUGGAUCUUGUUCAAGAUAAAGAAGCAAGAGACUAUUGGCUUCAAUGUUUUGAAGAAUCCGUUGACAAAUUCGUUGCUCGGGCAGUAAUGAGCCAACCUCAUAGUCCAACGGCGCAAGAUCGAGCUGUAAAAUUGAAAGAAAAAUACAUAAGCAGGCUUCACUAUCUUCACAUUGAACCUUUCGCCUACGGAGCUCUUACUGUACGGACUCUAUUGGAUAUAAUUGAACAUUGUAUGAAGGAAUUUGAUUUUCCGGAUCCUUACUUACAUCAAAAAAAAGAUGAGAACGAAAAAGCUCUGGGACAUCUAAAAGCACGAAUUGUAGAAAUAGAUGGAUUGGAAAGUUCUGUAAAAAUAGAAGCACUCAUUAUGGGUGUGUUGAGCGGUAACAUGUUUGAUUGGGGUGCUAAGGAAGUAGCAAACUUAAUGGAAACGACCGAUUUCGGUUUCAAAGAAGCCCAAUCGAAGAUUCCUGGUAGACCGUGGCUAGAAGAUUGCCUGGAUGCUUGGAUUGAGAGGUUAGAAAAGGGACCUGCUCAUAAAUGUGCUGCAAUUUUCGUAGAUAACAGUGGUGUUGAUAUCAUAUUGGGGAUACUACCUUUUGCUCGAGAUUUACUACUGAGAGGAACAAAGGUAAUUUUGUGCGCUAAUUCUGCACCUGCAUUAAACGACGUUACAUAUCCAGAGUUAGUUGUCACUUUGCGUAAUUCAUCAAAAAUCUGUAAUGUAAUCAAAAAAGCAAUAAAGGAGCAAAGACUUAUAGCAAUGGAGACGGCGCAGGCUGGUCCUUGCCUGGAUUUGAGUCGCCUAAAUCUAGAUCUCUGCCUGGCCAUGGUGAGGAACAAAGUAGAUUUAAUUGUUAUAGAAGGUAUGGGGCGGUCGUUGCACACAAAUUUGCACGCCAAAAUGAAAUGCGAGUGUUUAAAGUUGGCGGUGGUAAAAAAUCGGUGGCUAGCUCGUCGUCUCGGUGGUGAUAUGUAUGCAGUCAUUUGUAAAUACGAACCUGUUGUGCAAAAAGUGAAAAGUGACAACGAAAAUCCGUGUGAAAAUAAGGAUGCCGAAACUGAGGACAAUUCGACGUGUAUCAGUGUCAGAAUGGACCUCUGUAUGUGCGAGGAUGAUGAAUCAAAUAAUGUGAGCACAACUUCUACCAAUGGAAAAAGACUAACAUCCAAAGGCAGCACUGAUGAUGAUGGCAAAGACAAUGAAAACGUCGAUUCCGAUUCAUCACUCUGUAAUAACUAGACAGUUGCAGUUGGGUAAAUUACAAAGAAUUUGAUAUUGAAAGAGUGUCAAAAGAAUUCAGAUCGUUUCUGAUCAGCUCCAUGGUGCUUCGUACAAUGGUUAAUUAAAACUUUUAUAUCUGCUAAUAAUGAGUUCUGGUUCAUUGACUUUAUACCUCUAAUGAGGAACAACAGUAGAAUAUCACGAUAAGAGAAAGAGAUUUUACGUAUGAACUAUGCUCAACAUUUGGGGAUUAUACAUUUUUGGUUAUUCUAUAUUCUAAGAUAAAAAAUGGAAUACCCUAUACGUGGUUGAAUAGAUCAAUGAUCAAUCUCUGGAGUAAAUUUUCUGUGAUAUGAAAGAAUUUUCGAGCAGGAGCUUGAUUGUGUUCAUUACAAACCAUUGACACGCAUUAAAAAAUAUCUAUCCAUGUUCAAUGCUUAUUGCAAUGAAAUAUUAUUUUCAUUUUAUAACUUGGGAUUUGGAACGUGGCCUGAAAAGAGAAAGAGUACCAACUCAGCUCAAUCGGCAUCCAACACAGCUUCGGCGGAUGAUUCAUUAUGUACCUACAAUUCAUCAAAAAGGAUAUGGCACAUUAUGACAAGAUA